rnacentral:rRNA from 1 species
AAUGGACGAAAGUCUGAACCAGCCAUGCCGCGUGCAGGAUGACUGCCUAUGGGCUGUAAACUGCUUUUAUAUAGGAAGAAAACUUUCUCGUGAGAAAGCUUGACGGUACUAUAAGAAUAAGGAUCGGCUAACUCCGUGCCAGCAGCCGCGGUAAUACGGAGGAUCCAAGCGUUAUCCGGAAUCAUUGGGUUUAAAGGGUCCGUAGGUGGACAAAUAAGUCAGAGGUGAAAUCCUGCAGCUCAACUGUAGAACUGCCUUUGAUACUGUUUGUCUUGGGUUAUUAUGAAGUGGUUAGAAUGUGUAGUGUAGCGGUGAAAUGCAUAGAUAUUACACAGAAUACCGAUUGCGAAGGCAGAUCACUAAUAAUCAACUGACACUGAUGGACGAAAGCGUGGGUAGCGAACAGGAUU